rnacentral:rRNA from 1 species
UACGGGGGGGGCAAGCGUUGUUCGGAAUUACUGGGCGUAAAGGGCUCGUAGGCGGCCAACUAAGUCAAACGUGAAAUCCCUCGGCUUAACCGGGGAACUGCGUCUGAUACUGGAUGGCUUGAGUUUGGGAGAGGGAUGCGGAAUUCCAGGUGUAGCGGUGAAAUGCGUAGAUAUCUGGAGGAACACCGGUGGCGAAGGCGGCAUCCUGGACCGGUAUUGACGCUGAGGCGCGAAAGCGUGGGGAGCGAACAGG